CCUAGGGGAGGCAGCAGUGGGGAAUAUUGCACAAUGGGGGAAACCCUGAUGCAGCGACGCCGCGUGAGUGAAGAAGUAUUUCGGUAUGUAAAGCUCUAUCAGCAGGAACGAGACAAGACGGUACCUGACUAAGAAGCCCCGGCUAACUACGUGCCAGCAGCCGCGGUAAUACGUAGGGGGCAAGCGUUAUCCGGAAUCACUGGGUGUAAAGGGAGCGUAGACGGCUGAGCAAGCCUGAAGUGAAAGGGGGGGGCCCAACCCCCGGACUGCUUUGGGAACUGGACGGCUGGAGUGCAGGAGAGGUAAGUGGAAUUCGUGGUGUAGCGGUGAAAUGCGUAGAUAUUAGGAGGAACACCGGUGGCGAAGGCGGCUUACUGGACUGUAACUGACGUUGAGGCACGAAAGCGUGGGGAGCAAACAGGAUUAGAUACCCUUGUAGUC
rnacentral:rRNA from 1 species